rnacentral:tRNA from 1 species
GAGGCUAUAGCUCAAGUGGUAGAGUGCAUGCUUAGCAUGCAUGAGGUCCUGGGUUCAAUCCCCAAUAUUUCU